rnacentral:lncRNA from 1 species
CUUUACCCCCAGGCACCUCCACCAACUGUCUACAUUUGUCACUAUUCUAAGUUGUUGAGAGAGAAAGAGAAAAAGAGAGAGAGUAAGAAGGGUUGCAUAGGUCCUACUGUGGGUCUACUGGGACCCCCUGGGUCUUACCCAAGGUUUACUGAGACAUACUGGGUCUUACCCAGGCCUACUGAGACAUACUGGGUCUUACCCAGGUCUACUGAGACAUACUGGGUCUUACCCAGGUCUACUGGGACAUACUGGGUCUUACCCAGGUGUACUGAGACAUCCUGGGUCUUACCCAGGUCUACUGAGACAUACUGGGUCUUACCCAGGUCUACUGAGACAUACUGGGUCUUACCCAGGUCUACUGAGACAUACUGGGUCUUACCAAGACAAGAAAGAACAUUCAUGAAGGCAUCUGAAUUCACAGGGAGGGACAGGGACACUGGCAGGUUGCAUUUCAGAGAGAGAAUAUAUCAUAGUUUAGUUUUGGUGUGUAGCCUCUCUACUGUUGGCUUGGAUGAACAGAUUACUGUUGCUGGCACAAGCGAGAGAGAGAGAGAGAGAGAGAGAGAGAGAGAGAGAGACAGAGAGAGAGAGAGAGAGAGAGAGAGAGAGAGAGAGAGACAGACAGAGAGAGAGAGAGAGACAGACAGAGAGAGAGAGAGAGACAGAGAGAGGGAGAGAGAGAGGUCUGUGGAAGACGGGGGGCUCGCCAUUGUAAUGCUAUGAAAGGAAGGAGAGAUGGCUCUGUUGCUGUAGCAGCUGCACGCUUUUUACCACAUGGGGGUGGUAGGCACUGCAAGAUGAGACGAACUAGCCGUGUGUGUGUGUGUGUGUGUGUGUGUGUGUGUGUGUGUGUGUGUGUGUGUGUGUGUGUGUGUGUGGCAGACACACACCAACCCACACUAUCAAUGGACUGGUGCUUGGCUGUCUGGGCUGUAUCACCUGCCAAGGUAUUGGAGCUACCACUGUUCUGAAGGAGAGCAGGCUUGGCAUGAACGGCCAGGGUGGUGAGUUUAGCUUAUUACACUGGAGGCCUUUUAGGCCUAGUUUCCAUGUUGGACUCAAGCAAACAAGAGGAAAAGCUCAUUUCCUUUCUUUUAUCCUUAUCCUCCUCUUCCCUUCACUCACUAUAAUUCCCUUCAGUCUCCUUCUCUCUAUGUUGCUCACUAUAAUUCCCUUCAGCCUCCUUCUCUCUAUGUUGCUCACUAUAAUUCCCUUCAGUCUCCUUCUCUCUAUGUUGCUCACUAUAAUUCCCUUCAGCCUCCUUCUCUCUGUGUCGCUCACUAUAAUUCCCUUCAGUCUCCUUCUCUCUAUGUUGCUCACUAUAAUUCCCUUCAGUCUCCUUCUCUCUAUGUUGCUCACUAUAAUUCCCUUCAGUCUCCUUCUCUCUAUGUUGCUCACUGUAAUUCCCUUCAGUCUCCUCCUCUUCCCUUCACUCACUAUAAUUCCCUUCAGCCUCCUUCUCUCUAUGUUGCUCACUAUAAUUCCCUUCAGUCUCCUUCUCUCUAUGUUGCUCACUAUAAUUCCCUUCAGUCUCCUUCUCUCUAUGCUGCUCACUAUAAUUCCCUUCAGCCUCCUUCUCUCUGUGUCGCUCACUAUAAUUCGCCAUUUCUUUCUGGUGGGAUUGGAAUUGGUGAUUUAG